rnacentral:rRNA from 1 species
UUAAAUUGAAGAGUUUGAUCAUGGCUCAGAUUGAACGCUGGCGGCAGGCCUAACACAUGCAAGUCGAACGGUAACAGGAAGCAGCUUGCUGCUUUGCUGACGAGUGGCGGACGGGGGAGGAA